UCUUCCUCUAUGUUCCUGGAUUGAAAGGGACCGUACUGGUGAGAAAGUGAACCGUGUCUAUAGUUUUAAAUAAAUUCCUUUUAGACAGCACUGCAGAGUCCAGACUUGGAGUCCUUCCCACCAGUUUGUGGUUUCAGUUCUCAGCAGUGAGAUUACAGGUCAUGGCACGUCUGAUUUCUCUGCUGUUGGUGCUUGCAACCAUGCAGAUACUUCUUAUUGAAGCAGAAGCUUCGGUACAAGGAAACCUCAGUAUAUCACGUGAGAAUUGCCCUCGGCGCUGGAAGAUUAAAGAGGAUUCAACUGCAGAGGCUCUCGAAAUCAGGUGUUGGAUAGGAAAAAAAAAAUCUUUGGCAUUUCUUUGGCUUUGCCAAAGAAAUGUUCUAAUGAUGUCAAUACAUGCAAUUGCCUCAACGUUACAAUUGAAAGCAAUGAAUUUUUCAUAAAGAAAAAGAACGAAUGGAUACCUGUAAAGAAGUCUGAAAGUUUUAUAUUUUGUAAAAAAUGCUGCACGACUGAAUGCCCUCUUUAUUGUAGAGAUACAGACUGGAGACAAGGGUUAUGGAUUGAAUCAAAGAUUUCAACAAUUGAUGUGAAAUUUAAUAGCAAUUCUAAGUUAAGUGUGACUAACGAGGAUGAUGGUGAAACAGAAACAUUUCUGCAGGCUAUAAAUGAGACCAACAGCUGGAUUAAAGCUCUGCAGCACUGCCGACAUUUGAAUUCGACCCUGGUUCAGAUCACUGAUGAGACAGUGGGGUACGAAUUGCUGAGUCUGCUAGAGGAAAAUGAAGCCUUACAGAACGGAUCCUGGAUCGGACUGGAACGCUCCAUCUUUGGCACCAACUUGGAGUGGAAGUGGACCUCGGGGAUCAAAGCUGAUUACUCCGACUGGAACAGCAGCUUUUCUGUCGAUCCCUUGAACAACCACUGCGGAAAGAUUGUUUGGCUUGAAGAUUCAGACGAUUUCCAGCUGCUGGAUGGAAACUGCCAUGAAAAGCUACCUUUCAUCUGCCAACGUCAGCCAUAAUCUCUACGGAGCUCAGAAAACUACAUAGAUGGAUCAUCUUUCUGCGAAAAGUACUCUUUAAUUAUAAAGGGUUGCUCUGGAUUGCAUGUUUUUUUUUUAUGUUAGAUAUAUCGUUUUACAUUUAGUUAUUUUAUUUUAUUUCAUUUUAUGCUUUAUAUAUUUAUUAAGCAGCAUGAUUAAAACAAGCAGUUUAUCAUCUUUGAAAUUUUAUUUUUACCUCUUUUUGUAUUUCUGUUGAUGAAGAAGUAAAAAACCCAGAAAAAUUAGAACUAAAUUAACAAAUCUGAUUUGUAUUUUUUGGCUCAGAAUAAGAUCAAGAGUGAAGUUUUUAAGGGAUAUUUUCACAAAACCACUUUAAGGUACUUUAUCCGUUUUACAUGAAAAAGACCCAGAAAACUUUACUCUUUUUCAUAAAAGUUUAUCAUUUAAUUUCAUGUUAAUUCAACUUUAAAUGUUUUUUUUUUUUUUUUGAUUUCCAUGUUUUGUUUUGGGUUUUUUUUUAUCAUUUUUCUUAAGGUUUAUAUAAAUGCAAUAUCUAACAUAAACGUUUCUUAUUUGUUUCUGUAGAUAUUGUGAGGCUAUUGAUUAUAUUUAUAUUCUUAUCCAUAUAUAUAACACUGAGAUGAGUGUUUUUGUCAGCCUUAUGCUACUUUAUAAUUAAUUUUAUUAUUUUCUUAAGGUUCAUUUAUACUCAUUUGUGUCUAAGCUUUAAUCUGAUGACUGAUAUCGAUCCUUUUGUCACUUCUCAAAAAAGAAUAACAAGCCUACUAAGGUUUAUAGACAGAUUACAUUACUUAAUUUCUUUAUUUCAUAUUAUAAUUUGACACAGUUAUUACAUUUGUAUUUGCUUUAAUAUUAUCGGUGGUGAUUGUUAAAUUCUUGUGCCUUUGGUUUUUGACCUCUAUAAAAUACUAUCUCACCAAUAAAUACAAUCUGACAGAUUCCCUA